rnacentral:rRNA from 1 species
AUGACACCCGGAGGGGAUGAAGCCGCAGCAAGUGCUGUGAAAGAAAAGGAAACAAGAGUCAAUGUUGGCUGUGAAAAUAGAAUCUCACACUUGUAUGGAAUGGCAAGAACUAUACCAAUUGUUGAGAAAAAUGAUUUAUCACCCCAUUCAGCAACAAAAACCAAAACAAAUGUGCUAGCAAGAGUACUGGCGACAGACACUAAUCCUGCGCCAUUUCCAGAAAACUUCGAAACUGCUAUCUCAGCCUGCCAUUGUUCAGUAUAA